GUAGGUGGCAAGCGUUGUCCGGAAUUAUUGGGCGUAAAGCGCGCGCAGGCGGUUCUUUAAGUCUGAUGUGAAAGCCCACGGCUCAACCGCGGAGGGUCAUUGGAAACUGGAGAACUUGAGUACAGAAGAGGAAAGCGGAAUUCCACGUGUAGCGGUGAAAUGCGUAGAGAUGUGGAGGAACACCAGUGGCGAAGGCGGCUUUCUGGUCUGUAACUGACGCUGAGGCGCGAAAGCGUGGGGAGCAAACAGGAUUAGAUACCCUGGUAGUCCACGCCGUAAACGAUGAGUGCUAAGUGUUAGGGGGGUUUUCCGCCCCCCUUAGUGCUGCAGCUAACGCAUUAAGCACUCCGCCUGGGAGUACGGCCGCAAGGCUG
rnacentral:rRNA from 1 species